rnacentral:rRNA from 1 species
CCUACGGGAGGCAGCAGUGGGGAAUAUUGGGCAAUGGGCGCAAGCCUGACCCAGCAACGCCGCGUGAAGGAAGAAGGCCCUCGGGUUGUAAACUUCUUUUAUCAAGGACGAAACAAAUGACGGUACUUGAUGAAUAAGCUACGGCUAACUACGUCCCAGCAGCCGCGGGAAUACGUAGGUGGCAAGCGUGAUCCGGAUUUACUGGGUGCAAAGGGCGGGUAGGCGGGACUGCAAGUCAGAUGUGAAAACCAUGGGCUCACCCCAUGGCCUGCAUUUGAAACUGUAGUUCUUGCGUGUUGGAGAGGCCGGCGGAAUUCCGUGUGUAGCGGUGAACUGCGUAGAUAUGCGGAGGACCACCAGUGGCGAAGGCGGCCUGCUGGACAAUAACUGACGCUGAGGCGCGACAGCGUGGGGAGCAAACAGGAUUAGAUACCCGUGUAGUC